CCGGGUUGGAGCGUCCUCUUUCUCCUAUAGAAUCAUCGGGUGCAGCGUCGCGGCCAGUGCUGCUUUUGGUUACGCGUGGCAGAAGUCUCGUGCUGGGUGAUAAAGUUUUCCUCCUGCUGCAAAGCGAAGCAACAUUUUCCACCUCUCGGCUCCUCCCACAGAUUCCCAGAGUGUCUCUGUUUAGGUCCAACCCCCGGAAACACACCCGCAGCCCAACCACGCCACGAUUGAAACCCCGGGUCGAAGUGGCUCGGAUGACCGCACUCGCUUCGCGCAACGCUGCCGCCCUGCUGCCUGUGGACCCUCAUUCCUGUUCAGAGUGGCCCGUGGCGGGGUGAGUACAGGCUUUUCUCCACGACUUGGUUCUUUUCAAAUUCAUCAAAGAUUGCGCAGCAAACCUUGAUCUUCUGCAAAGGCGCUCUCAUCUCUGUAAAUGCUGAAGUCCCAAGACCACAGGAGGAAAUGGGUGCGUCGGAGCCUGAAAGCAGGGCGAACACGCCACGUGCUCCCGGAUCUUCAGAGCCACUGGCUGCAGAUCUGCCACUGAGGGCUGCUCAGGGCCCUGUUGUACCUCCCGGGCAGCACGACCUUGGCUUCUGGUCUGAGAGAGGGGCAUGCUCCCGCUCCUGCUUAGAAUUGAAGACCGGAUGAGCCCAAAGAUUACUCCAUCACUCUGAAGCUAACGUCAGCCCAUCUGCUCCCAUCUGUAAACAGUAAUAUACAGACAUUACUGUAUAUUACAUCUGCAGAGUAAACGUGACAGGGGUCGCUUUGACGAAGACAUGAUGAGGGUGGUGAUGGUAAGGAGGUGGUAGCCUUUACUCCUCUUCCUGCCCCUCUUCCUGCUCUCCCACUGUAGAGGAUGUGGUUACCACUUUAAGACCAUGAUUUAGUAAAGGACCUAUCCGUCCCAUCAGAAACAACCUGGGUUUAGUUAUCGCCUGGGUUUUCAUGUUACCAGCCUAGUUCCUGCAAAUUAGGUAAAACCCUACGGUUGUGGGGCAGAGGGGCCAGGUUCCUUGGUUCAUUUACAUCCCGCUGCCACACUUUCAAACCAAGAACGAAGUCACCUCCUCCCCAGAGCCCCCCAACCAGUAUCCCUGAGCAGCUUCUGGAGAGUCCUCUGAAGGAAACUGCCUAGGAUCAAAACUCAAGCCCGGUGUUGCCACCCUCCUCCCCAACCUGGCUCCUCACUAAAGAGUCCCCAGAGACCCCCAAGACAUCAUUCUACUGAGUGUUCAGAUUGAUUCUUAGAAGCAGAAGUGAGGAGUUUGUAGGGGUGCAGUAUCAAUGUCCAAGGAGGCCACCCUGAGCCCUAAAAAAAAAAUCACUCCAGCAUUGUCAACUGUCAAGUGUUCUCUCUCUGUAGUUUGAGACGUUCAUCUCUUCAUGAUGGUGCCAGGGUGAUGAGGAAGCUGUGGCUUUGUAAGAGAGAAGCAGCCAUCAGAAGAAACAAGCAGGCAGAGGGAAAGACUCGGAGGCGGGAAGCACAUGUUCCUUAUAUCAGCACCUUCCCGUGUGUGUGUGUGUGUGUGUGUGUGUGUGUGUGUGUGUGUGUGUGUGUGUGUACACAUGCAUUGCUAGAAUUAUAAGCCUGUGCCAGCACACCACCUACGCCAUCUCCCAACCUCACGAACCAGCAUUUUGAUCGUGGCCUCCAUGCCCAGCACUGCAGUAGACUUCAAGUUAAUGAUCUAAUGUCUGUUUAUCAAAGUCUUCUGAAAGAGCCAUUUCAAGCACUGUGUGGACCAGGGUGGCCAAAGCCUGGCUGCUGGCUCGUGGUUUGUGCUCCUUUAACAUCUGUGGGUUGUCACUGCUGUGUCCUUUCAGACAACAGCAAAAAAAGGUGGCCUCUUCUGUUUUAAAACCUUUAUACAUACACAAAACAAAAACAAAAGCCACCUUUCCACCAGAUUACAAAACUCUAGGAAAUGUCUCAAGGGUGACCUUGAGCAAACUGCUGCCAUGUCCUCCUGGCCUGUGACACAGUUGGUGAGGACAAGUGCCUGUGUGGUUUAGAACACAGUGAUUUGAUUCUGAGCAAAAGGCAGCCCUUGGAGACUGAAGUAACUAACUCAGGCCCUCUGUGAACGCUGUGGCAGCGUACAGCUCACCCUACCAAGGUGUCAUUAUCUAAUGACAACCAAGGCAGAGAUGCUUCUCUGUGUAAUCUCACUAUGGCUUCUGCUCUCAGGAUCUACGGGAGGUGGUGAGUCUCGACAGACAUGAAUGAAGGAAGGGCCCGGGAGGAGUGGAAACUCUGCCUUGGAGUACUCUAUCUCUUGAACGCCUCUCUGAGCCUGCUUUAUUUUCCUGUGCCAGCCACCUCUAUUCUGUAAAGCAGACCUCCCUCUAAAGUCACUUAACCACAGGGGACCCCAACAGUGGAAUCCAGGAGACCCGCAUUAAGGUUCCGAUGAGCUCUGUGGCCAGUCCUGUCUUCUCUUCAGAGAACAGCCAGGAUGCUGACAGCUCAGUGUCCUAAGUCCACACUCAGCACUUCUCCAGUGACAGAGUCAGCAAGCGGGGCUCAUGUGGCCUGAAAUGUGCCUGUCUGCUAAAUGGAAGCAGAGAAUACCCCAGCAAUCUGUCACACCACCCAGUCCCCCAGCAUCUGCCCUCCGGACUCUGCUCAGGAGUGAGAUGUUUGCUUUAGGGUGUUUAUGUUGUUUGCUUGUUUUCAUCUUUAUUUGGGGUGGGGUGGUAUCACAGGAAUAGGGUAGAGGUCAGAGGACAGCGCUGGAGAAUCAGUUCUCUCCUUCCACCUUCACAUGGGUUCUGAGACUGGACGCAUGCUGCUAGCCAGUGCGGCUCCAUGUGUCUUUACCCACUGAGCCAUCUUGCUGGUCCAUUCUAGCAAUCCAGCCUUGCCUCCCAUCGGGCAGAAAGACCUGGACUCAGGUAGUCAGCGUGUGUUCAUCCUCCGUUUAGCUGUGAGCUUCGAGUAUGCAGUAAGACGAACCCUGAGAGGUUGUGAUUCUCGCUGUUCCCUGAAUGGGUCUGUGACUGAUUUCCGACCUUUCACUCGUCUGCCUGAUGGUACACGGUGAAAGAAUACAUACUAACCACCAUAAUAAAGUUGCCUUGGAGAUUAA